rnacentral:rRNA from 1 species
AGUGAACGCUGGCGGUAGGCCUAACACAUGCAAGUCGAACGGCAGCACAGUAAGAGCUUGCUCUUACGGGUGGCGAGUGGCGGACGGGUGAGGAAUACAUCGGAAUCUACUUUUUCGUGGGGGAUAACGUAGGGAAACUUACGCUAAUACCGAAUACGACCUACGGGUGAAAGCAGGGGAUCUUCGGACCUUGCGCGAUUGAAUGAGCCGAUGUCGGAUUAGCUAGUUGGCGGGGUAACGGCCCACCAAGGCGACGAUCCGUAGCUGGUCUGAGAGGAUGAUCAGCCACACUGGAACUGAGACACGGUCCAGACUCCUACGGGAGGCAGCAGUGGGGAAUAUUGGACAAUGGGCGCAAGCCUGAUCCAGCCAUACCGCGUGGGUGAAGAAGGCCUUCGGGUUGUAAAGCCCUUUUGUUGGGAAAGAAAAGCAGCAGGUUAAUACCCCGCUGUUCUGACGGUACCCAAAGAAUAAGCACCGGCUAACUUCGUG